AUCACCACACGUUAUUGCACGAGCAGGGACCCAGUUACACCACUACAGGUCUACAGCUCCCGCCCAGCAUCAUGGCCUUCCAUUCCCCAAUCUAGGGUUGCUGAGCUCCCCACCACUGCCGGCCAUGCCCGACGCGGAUGUUGACACCGUGAUUCGCGAAGCCGCCGCGGCCGCGGCCCCAGCCGGCGACGACGACAGCGAGGGUGACACCGAGGAGGAGGAGGAGGAGGGGGACGAGGUCGACGAGGACGAGGACGACGACGAGGAGUUACCCGCCGAGGCGCCGGCGCCGGACGAGGAGCAACCUGCUCCAGCGCCCAUCUCGACCUUGCCGGGGAAUCCAAACCAGCUGACGCUGGUCUUCCAGGGCGAGGUUUACGUUUUCGAAUCCGUCACCCCCGAGAAGGUUCAAGCUGUGCUGCUACUUUUAGGACGUGGUGAACUACCACCUGGUUUAGCUGGCAUGGUUUUACCCAAUCAAAAUGAAAACAAGGGCUAUGACGAUAUACUUCAGAGGACAGACAUUCCAGCAAAAAGGGUUGCUUCACUAAUUAGGUUCCGUGAGAAAAGGAAGGAAAGAAAUUUUGAUAAGAAAAUACGUUAUGCUGUUCGCAAAGAAGUGGCACUCAGGAUGCAGCGUCGGAAGGGGCAAUUUGCUGGAAGAGCCAGUCUGGAGGGAGAAUCUCCAGCUCCUGGAUGUGAUCCUGGUUCUCAGGGCUCAGGCCUAGAUUUUGCAUCUCGAGAAUCAAUGUGCCAGAACUGUGGUACUAGUGAAAAAAUGACCCCAGCAAUGCGUCGUGGUCCAGCGGGUCCAAGGACUUUGUGCAAUGCUUGUGGAUUGAUGUGGGCAAACAAGGGUACCCUGAGAAGUUGCCCCAGGGCAAAAGUUGAAUCUCCUGCGGUUGCAACUGAGCAGCAAUGCUGUCUUUUCUCAGGGAACAAGUGACAACAAAGCCCUGGCAACACUGAAUAAUAACAAUGUUGCUGCAAGCAAUGGCGAAGCCACAAGUGCAGCAGAGAAAGGAGUGCCAAAGGCGCCGUGACAGUAUAUAGACAUUAUUGUCAGAGACAAAGAUUUCGGAUUCUUUGCCUAUAGCUAGACAAGACACCCCGUUAGAAAUAUUUGGUAAUGAUAAUGAUUGUCAUCAAGUGUACAUUCAUUCUUGCUUGACAGUGUUAGACGUGUAAUUAAUAUAAGCUGUCCGAUUGUGUAAACAGUAAACCCAUAUGGCAUCUGUUGUGUUACAACUUACACUUUCUAACUUUCUUCAUUCUCAUAACAUCAUGAUCAAAGAUUCGAUGCUACCCAUUGAUUGUCA